GGGGCGGCCCCAACGGCUGGCCGGCGUGGACGGAAAUUAAAUGAAGGCCGGAGGGAAUAAUCCCCGCAAAGCGCAUCUCUGGCCGCCCUCGUUGAAAAUCCUUCCAGCUCCUGGGCUCCCGCCCCGCGCUCUUCCACCCCCCACCCCGACCCCACCCCGGCCGUGAUCGCCUCCGGCUCUCUCUCUCUCUCUCUCUCUCUCUCUCUCUCUCUCUCUCUCUCUCUCUCCCUUGCGCAUCGCUGUUUCCCCGGGGACCUAGAACAGCACCUCACAUCCUGAUCAAUACAUAUGUCAAAAAUAAUUUUAAAAUGAUAAUAAUAAUGGGACUUUCAGGAACUGUAACCUCGAGAAAUGGAGAAGGGAGACCAUUCCUCACAUCACUAAACAUUUUGUGUGAAGGCCAGCACCCGAAAAAUGCUUAACUACUUGGUGGGAUCAAAUUUCUCAAAGGCAGAGGUCAUCUGUCCGUCCAGGCAGCUAAUGAGCCAUGAAGACUAAAUGGAACACGGGAUCCUGGAUGGCUUCCUGAACCACAGAAGGGACAUUAGUAGGACAGCUGGUGAAACAGGAAUAGUCAGAAGUCACACGGCAAGACUGGGGUCUCUGCUCAGGGUCUCGGGAGGCCGAAAUCACUGUGAGCGGGGGAGUUCCCAACCGGAGACUGGAGAAAAACCGCCUUGCAAGCUCAUUCCCAGGGCAGAAUUCAGUUCCUGUAGUUCAGGAGUAAAGUCCUCACUUCCUGCCGGCCACCAGCUGCCAGCCACCAGCACUCUGUUCCCAGGGGCUGCCUGCAUCCUUGCCACGUGGCCGCCUCCUGUCUUCAGUCGCGGAGUUUCAGAAAUCAGGAUUCAGUCUCUAGGGGACAGACGCUAUCCACACCCUCGCUGUCCCGGAUGGAAGGAGAGUAGCAUUGUGUUUAGUGCUCAGCCGCAGCUCCGGAGGCACCAGCAGCUGGGAGUGCACACCCUGGGGCUGCCCGGUUCCUGGCCAGUCGGGGACAGUUGUCCCUUUCUUCACAAGGAAAGAGUGGCUGCAGAGAACGGGGUUUAAGUUGGGCCUUUGAAGCCCACCGAGCCCAGGGCCGGG